UACAGAGGUCUCAAGCGUUGUUCGGAUUCAUUGGGCGUAAAGGGUGCGUAGGCGGCGCGGUAAGUCGGGUGUGAAAUCUCGGGGCUUAACUCCGAAACUGCAUUCGAUACUGCCGUGAUUGAGGACUGGAGAGGAGACUGGAAUUUACGGUGUAGCGGUGAAAUGCGUAGAUAUCUGGAGGAACACCGGUGGCGAAGGCGGCAUCCUGGACCAAUUCUGACACUGAGGAGCGAAAGCCAGGGGAGCAAACGGG
rnacentral:rRNA from 1 species